rnacentral:rRNA from 1 species
CAGCCGCCGCGGGAAUACGUAGGUGGCAAGCGUUGUCCGGAAUUAUUGGGCGUAAAGGGCUCGCAGGCGGUUUCUUAAGUCUGAUGUGAAAGCCCCUGGCUCAACCGGGGAGGGUCAUUGGAAACUGGGAAACUUGAGUGCAGAAGAGGAGAGUGGAAUUCCACGUGUAGCGGUGAAAUGCGUAGAGAUGUGGAGGAACACCAGUGGCGAAGGCGACUCUCUGGUCUGUAACUGACGCUGAGGAGCGAAAGCGUGGGGAGCGAACAGGAUUAGAUACCCGCGUAGUCCCUGUCUCUUAUAC